GGCUGAAAUGUCUGUAUGUAUUUUAAUUAUUGUAUUUGCUUUUUUACUUACUGUUUGUUUGUUUGUUUUUAUCUGUCUUGUCUUGCGUGGCUUUUGGACAUGAGUCUGGCAAAUAAACUGAAUUGAAUUGAUUCAUUCAUUGAUGGUAAAAGCACACGCAGUGUGCCUGUAUGCGUGUAUAUAUAUAUAUAUAUAAAACAUACAGCUUGUGAAAUUACCAUCAAUGAAUGAAUCAAUAAAGAUACAUUUUUAUUUAAUUUUAAUGGAAAUUUUAAAUUUAAUUUUAAUGGCAAUAGCUCUUUUUCAUUACCAUUAGUGAAAUAACUGAACUUAAAUAUACAAGCUUGAUAAAUUUAAUUAUAAUUUUUUUGUCAAAACUUGAUUUUAAUUUUGUAUAUUUUAAUAAUUUCUCCUAUAAUUCUAGGAGAAAAUAUCAAUUGACACUUAGAGGCUUUUACAUCUGAUGUCUUCAUUAUAUUUAUAAUAUAUAUAAUAUAUACACACAUACAUAUAUUCAAAUACAUCAUGCAUAAGAAAUGGAUCGUAUACAUAUAAAUACAGACAUACUAUAUUUAUAAAUAAGCCAACACAAGAAACAAGUAUCUUGUUAAUUAAAGUUGUAUUCUAAAAUAAAACUAUAUACAUGUUUACAGAUUGUGAGCCCUACAAUCUACUGCCACCUGAAUGCUGCUGUACCAAUUCUUCGGCUGUAUUUUGAAGAUGGAGCUGACCUCCGCCCCAAACUCCGACUUUCACGGCAGUCCAUCCAAUCCUUGAUUGCUGCAGUGAAACCUGAAUGCAACCAUGGCUGGGAAAAGGACGUUGAGGUGCUGGUGUUCCUUUACUGGCUGGCCCAUGCAGCAUCAUACGGGGUAGUGUCACUCACCUUUGACAUCCCGAAGUCUACUGUGCACAGAAUGAGCAAGGCAGUCAUCGGGAUUUUGAGGCAGCUCAUCGCUUUCCCCAGUGCGGAUGACCUGGAGGCAGUGGGAGCAGGUUUUGCCCAUCUGGCAGGGUCUCCAGCUUUCAGAGUAGUAGCUGGUGCUAUAGAUGGCUGUCACAUCUGCAUCAAACCACCAGCAAGUGAUGUGCAGUGCUACUUUAAUCGGAAGCUCUUUAAUUCUGUACAGCUGCAGGCCAUCACUGACCACCAGGGGAAGUUCCUCGACAUUUUUGUGGGGUAUCCUGGGUCUGUGCACGAUGCCAGGGUGCUGAAGAACAGCCCUGUGUACACUGGCUGCCUGUUUCCACCUGCAGGAAAAUGCAUCCUUGGAGAUGCUUUGAAAGGAACAUAUAUUGAGUUAUUUUAAAGUGAUGCCCUACAAAUGACAUUGCUAGUAUCAAAGUCCCUUUAGAUCUUUAAGAAACCUGUGAAAAUUACCUUACUGAAGCUGCUGAAGUUAAUUUUCUUUCCUCAUCAUGACACUAUAAUAAAAAUGUUUUUAAUACCUUUCCUUUUGGUGGU
ensembl:lncRNA